AGUGAACGCUGGCGGUAGGCCUAACACAUGCAAGUCGAACGGCAGCACAGUAAGAGCUUGCUCUUACGGGUGGCGAGUGGCGGACGGGUGAGGAAUACAUCGGAAUCUACUUUUUCGUGGGGGAUAACGUAGGGAAACUUACGCUAAUACCGCAUACGACCUACGGGUGAAAGCAGGGGAUCUUCGGACCUUGCGCGACUGAAUGAGCCGAUGUCGGAUUAGCUAGUUGGCGGGGUAAAGGCCCACCAAGGCGACGAUCCGUAGCUGGUCUGAGAGGAUGAGCAGCCACACUGGAACUGAGACACGGUCCAGACUCCUACGGGAGGCAGCAGUGGGGAAUAUUGGACAAUGGGCGCAAGCCUGAUCCAGCCAUACCGCGUGGGUGAAGAAGGCCUUCGGGUUGUAAAGCCCUUUUGUUGGGAAAGAAAAACAGCAGGUUAAUACCCCGCUGUUCUGACGGUACCCAAAGAAUAAGCACCGGCUAACUUCGUG
rnacentral:rRNA from 1 species